rnacentral:lncRNA from 1 species
UAUAUUUUAAAUGUUCCCACCACACAAAAGAAAUAGUACUUAUGCAGGUGUGAGCUAACACUGUGACGAUAAUCAUUUUGCAAUAUAUGUGUAUCCAAUCAACAUGUUGUUCACCUUAAACUGACAUAACAUUAUAGGUCAAUUAUAUCUCAAUAAAUCUGGGGAAUUUAUAAAACAAAAAUAAAUGAUAAUAAUUAAUUAAUGUGUUUUCCAAUUUGCCCUAUGGAUAUUAGGUUUCUCAACCUUGGUUUCGUACCAUCAUUUCUUCUUCAGUGAUGGAGCAGUGAACUUCUAAGUGUCAUAUAACAGAUGUAUAAGAAAAGAGUAAAUCUUCGCAGAUGAAAUGUUAGAGGAGCUCAGUGGUCCAUCCCUUCCCCAUAAGAGUGUAAUUCAUCCAGUUGUGUUCUCAGUAAAAUUGAAUAUGCUGAGUUGAUUGAAUGUCCAGAGGAACCAAUUAAAGGUGAGAUAUUAAUAUUAACAAGAAUGUUUCAUAAGUGAUGAAAUUAUUCUCUAUUUUUUUUUUCGUAUUGGAUGGUAGAUUGCUUUCCCUCUAGAGCUAAAAGCUUUAAUUUUUUUAAAUUUAUUUAUUGAAGUAUGGGUUUUCUUUAAAAGUGAGGCUAGAGUAACUCUACAUGUAAUCAUCCUAGUUGGAAGUAGGAGAAAAUGAACCCUCUAUAAAGUCAUAUUUAAUCUAUCUAUCUCUUGGAUUCAUGCAGAGAAGUGUUGCCAAUGGAAAUUCAAUCAAAGAAGGUUGUGCAUUGAGGCCAAGUUCCACUUUAGGAAAUAACAUUUCCUGAUUAUGCAUUUGGGACCAUAUCUUAUAGAGGAAUUUACACAAACAGGAUCAUUCAACCCAAGUUUUCUGUCUAGCUUCCCUAUUUGAAAUGUCUGAUAUUCACUGAUUUUCACAUCACAGGAAUGUACAAUACAUAGUGGAAAUAUAAAUUUAUAUAGUUAAAUAGUUUUAAGGAAAAUUUUAGUUUUUUGAUAUCUAGAUACUCCUAAAUCAAAAUAAGUAUAAAAACAUACCUGAAGGUGAAGGAAGUGAUACUAGGAAG